rnacentral:misc_RNA from 1 species
UUAAGUUCAGCGGGUAAUCCUACCUGAUUUGAGGUCUAAAUCAAAAGUUGACUUGAUUAGAAGCUUCUACUUUUACGAAAAUCGGCCAUUAGACGAGCUAAUGUCCUCAGCGAAGAAAGUCUAUCACGCUGAGUCAAUCCGAAAGACGAAUUUGAGAUGCUAAUGCAUUGCGAAUGAGCUUCGCCAAAAAGGCCAGCAGA